ACGAACGCUGGCGGCAUGCCUAACACAUGCAAGUCGAACGAUGCUUUCGGGCAUAGUGGCGCCCGGGUGCGUAACGCGUGGGAAUCUGCCCUUGGGUUCGGAAUAACAGUGAGAAAUUGCUGCUAAUACCGGAUGAUGUCUUCGGACCAAAGAUUUAUCGCCCAGGGAUGAGCCCGCGUAGGAUUAGCUAGUUGGUGGGGUAAUGGCCUACCAAGGCGACGAUCCUUAGCUGGUCUGAGAGGAUGAUCAGCCACACUGGGACUGAGACACGGCCCAGACUCCUACGGGAGGCAGCAGUGGGGAAUAUUGGACAAUGGGCGCAAGCCUGAUCCAGCAAUGCCGCGUGAGUGAUGAAGGCCUUAGGGUUGUAAAGCUCUUUUACCCGGGAUGAUAAUGACAGUACCGGGAGAAUAAGCUCCGGCUAACUCCGUG
rnacentral:rRNA from 1 species